rnacentral:misc_RNA from 1 species
AGAUCCAAGUGUUAAAGCCAAUCAAAGCCUUUCUCCUCACCCUCAAGCAGCUGUUUUUGGCUGGAAAAAAUGGCUUCCUCUCUGCUUUCUCACUCCAGCCUUUUACUCAAAGGAUCAUCCAAGGUUCUUCCAUCCCCAACAAUGGCAGCUCACAGGUUGCCUAUGUUGCAAAAGAUGAAGAAGGGAGGGGUAAAGUGUAGGGUGGAAGAGAAGGCAGAAGGAAAGAAGUCAGAAGAAAGCAUGGUUUCGGGGACGGUGGCAACGGUGGUGAUGGCUGCAUUGGCAGCAGCGGGUCCGGCAGUGGCGCUGGUGGAUGAGAGGUUGAGCACAGAAGGCACAGGGCUGCCUUUUGGCUUAAGCAACAACCUUCUUGGGUGG